AAAAAGAGGAGUGGCGAACGGGUGAGUAACACGUGGGUAACCUGCCCAUCAGAAGGGGAUAACACUUGGAAACAGGUGCUAAUACCGUAUAACAAUCGAAACCGCAUGGUUUUGAUUUGAAAGGCGCUUUCGGGUGUCGCUGAUGGAUGGACCCGCGGUGCAUUAGCUAGUUGGUGAGGUAACGGCUCACCAAGGCCACGAUGCAUAGCCGACCUGAGAGGGUGAUCGGCCACAUUGGGACUGAGACACGGCCCAAACUCCUACGGGAGGCAGCAGUAGGGAAUCUUCGGCAAUGGACGAAAGUCUGACCGAGCAACGCCGCGUGGGUGAAGAAGGUUUUCGGAUCGUAAAACUCUGUUGUUAGAGAAGAACAAGGAUGAGAGUAACUGUUCAUCCCUUGACGGUAUCUAACCAGAAAGCCACGGCUAACUACGUGCCAGCAGCCGCGGUAAUACGUAGGUGGCAAGCGUUGUCCGGAUUUAUUGGGCGUAAAGCGAGCGCAGGCGGUUUCUUAAGUCUGAUGUGAAAGCCCCCGGCUCAACCGGGGAGGGUCAUUGGAAACUGGGAGACUUGAGUGCAGAAGAGGAGAGUGGAAUUCCAUGUGUAGCCGUGAAAUGCGUAGAUAU
rnacentral:rRNA from 1 species